CACCUACGGGAGGCAGCAGUGAGGAAUAUUGGUCAAUGGGCUUACGCCUGAACCAGCCAAGUCGCGUGAGGGAAGACUGCCCUAUGGGUUGUAAACCUCUUUUGUCAGGGAGCAACGCCGGCUACGUGUAGCCGGACUGAGAGUACCUGAAGAAAAAGCAUCGGCUAACUCCGUGCCAGCAGCCGCGGUAAUACGGAGGAUGCGAGCGUUAUCCGGAUUUAUUGGGUUUAAAGGGUGCGUAGGCGGGCAUUUAAGCCGGCGGUCAAAUGUCGGGGCUCAACCCCGGCCUGUCGUAGGAACUGGGG
rnacentral:rRNA from 1 species